UUUGAUCAUGGCUCAGAUUGAACGCUGGCGGCAUGCCUUACACAUGCAAGUCGAACGGCAGCACGGGCUUCGGCCUGGUGGCGAGUGGCGAACGGGUGAGUAAUACAUCGGAACGUGCCCUGUCGUGGGGGAUAACUAGUCGAAAGAUUAGCUAAUACCGCAUACGACCUGAGGGUGAAAGCGGGGGACCGGUAACGGCCUCGCGCGAUAGGAGCGGCCGAUGUCUGAUUAGCUAGUUGGUGGGGUAAAGGCCUACCAAGGCGACGAUCAGUAGCUGGUCUGAGAGGACGAUCAGCCACACUGGGACUGAGACACGGCCCAGACUCCUACGGGAGGCAGCAGUGGGGAAUUUUGGACAAUGGGGGCAACCCUGAUCCAGCAAUGCCGCGUGUGUGAAGAAGGCCUUCGGGUUGUAAAGCACUUUUGUCCGGAAAGAAAACCUUCGCCCUAAUACGGUGGGGGGAUGACGGUACCGGAAGAAUAAGCACCGGCUAACUACGUGCCAGCAGCCGCGGUAAUACGUAGGGUGCGAGCGUUAAUCGGAAUUACUGGGCGUAAAGCGUGCGCAGGCGGUUUGAUAAGACAGGCGUGAAAU
rnacentral:rRNA from 1 species